rnacentral:rRNA from 1 species
UACCGCAUACGCCCUAAGGGGGAAAGCAGGGGAUCUUCGGACCUUGCGUUAAUGGAGCGGCUGAUAUCUGAUUAGCUAGUUGGUGGGGUAAAGGCCCACCAAGGCGACGAUCAGUAGCUGGUCUGAGAGGACGACCAGCCACACUGGAACUGAGACACGGUCCAGACUCCUACGGGAGGCAGCAGUGGGGAAUUUUGGACAAUGGGCGCAAGCCUGAUCCAGCCAUUCCGCGUGAGUGAAGAAGGCCUUCGGGUUGUAAAGCUCUUUCGCAAGGGAAGAAACGUUACUCGUGAAUAACGGGUGAUAAUGACGGUACCUUGAUAAGAAGCACCGGCUAACUACGUGCCAGCAGCCGCGGUAAUACGUAGGGUGCGAGCGUUAAUCGGAAUUACUGGGCGUAAAGCGUGCGCAGGCGGUUUUGUAAGUCAGAUGUGAAAUCCCCGAGCUCAACUUGGGAACUGCAUUUGAAA